rnacentral:rRNA from 1 species
CGGGUGAGUAAUGUCUGGGAAACUGCCCGAUGGCGGGGGAUAACUACUGGAAACGGUAGCUAAUACCGCAUAAUGUCUGCGGACCAAAGCGGGGGACCUCCGGGCCUCGCGCCAUCAGAUGUGCCCAGAUGGGAUUAGCUAGUAGGUGGGGUAACGGCUCACCUAGGCGACGAUCCCUAGCUGGUCUGAGAGGAUGACCAGCCACACUGGAACUGAGACACGGUCCAG